GCCAACGGUCAAAUCACGUUGAACCUACAAGUUCUCGUCCGAUCACUUCAGUCAAGCAACGUUGAGCGCGGUUAGUACUUAAAUGGGUGACCGUUUGGGAACACCGCGUACUGUUGGCAUCU
rnacentral:rRNA from 1 species